AGAAUUUUGAACACCUGUAUUUUGCAAAUACCCAAUAGUUAUCAUGAUCACAUGAAAAACCACAAUUGUAAUACCUGAGAUUAAAUUACCUGGGUUUUUAUCCUCCUUCUUUAUCCCAAAUCUUACACUGGGAGGGAGCAACUCUUCCAAAUCAUUCAUUAUUUCAUUUGUGGUGGCUGUGUUGUUUCUUCUGUUCUUUUCAUCUUCACGUGUCUUUUUUUUUUUUGUGCCAAUAAAAA